AGAGUUCAUCCUCGGCUCAGGAUGAACGCUGGCGGCAAUGCUUAACACAUGCAAGUCGGACGGGAAGUGGUGUUUCAGUGGCGGAACGGGUGAGUAACGCGUAAGAACUGCCCUUGGGAGGGGAACAACAAACUGGAAACGGCUGCUAAUACCCGUAGGCUGACAGCAAAAGGAGGAAUCCGCUGAGGAGGGGCUUCGCCGUCUGAUUACUAGUUGGUGAGCAAUAGCUUACCAAGGCGAUGGAUCAGUACUGGUCGAGAGAAUGAAUCAGCCAUCAUGGGACCUGAGACAACGGCCAGACUCCUAACGGGAGGCAGCAGUGGGGAAUUUUCCGUAAUCGGGCAAAUCUGACGGAGCAAUGCCCGCGUGGAGGUAGAAGGCAGGUAAUGAAUCUUCUUUCCCGGAGAAGACGCAAUGACGGUAUCCGGGAUAGCAUCGGCUAACUCUGUGCCAGAGCCGCGGUAAGAUAGAGAUGCAAGCGUUAUGAAAUGAUUGGGGCGUAAAGCGUUCGUAGGUGGCUUCUUUAAGUCCGCGUCAAAUCCCAGGGCUCCCAACCCUGGACCAGGCCGGUGGAACUUACCAAGCCUGGAGUACGGUAGGGGCCAGAGGGAUUUCGGUGGUGCGGUGAACUGCGUAGAGAUCGGAAAGAACACCAAACGCGAAAGCACUCUCUGGACGACACUAACACUGCGAGACGAAAGCUAGGGGAGCGAAUGGGAUUAGAUACCCAGUAGUCCUAGCCGUAAACGAUGGGAUACAGGCGCUGUGCUUAUCGACCUGGCAUGUUGUAGCUAACGCGUAGUAUCCCGCCUGGGGAGUACGUUCGCACAGAAUGAAACUCCAAGAAAUUGACGGGGGCCGCACAGCGUGGAGCACAUGGUGGUUUAAUUCGAUGCAAAGCGAAGAACUUACUAGGGAUUGACAUCCGCGCAUCCUCUUGAAAGCAGAGGGUGCCUUCGGGAACGCCGGACACGGUUGGUGCAUGGCUUGUCGUUCAGCUCGUGCGUAACAGGUGUUGGGGUUAAGUCACGCAACGAGCGCAAACCCUGUUGGGGUUUUUAGUUGCCACAUGAGUUUGGAAACCUGAAACAAACUACCGGUGAUAAGCUGAGGAGGUGAGGAUGAGUCGAAGUUAUCAUGCCCUUAUGCCUGGGCGACACACGUGCUACAAGGCUGGGAACAAGGGUCGCGAAUCCACCGAGGUGAGCUAACCCCAAACCCGUCCUCAGUUCGAUUGCAGGCUGCAACUGCCUGAAUGAAAGGCGGAAUCGUAGUAAUCGCCGUCAGCCAUACGGCGGUGAAUUCGUCCCCUGGCCUUGUACACAAACUGACCAUCACAAUCUAUGGAGCUGGCCAUGGCCGAAAGUCGUUCCCUUAACCUGCAAGGAGCGGGAUGCCGAAGGCGGGGCUAGUGACUGAAAGUGAGUGAGUAACAAGGUUGGUACUGGAGGGCGGGUG
rnacentral:rRNA from 1 species